rnacentral:rRNA from 1 species
AUACGGAGGAUCCGAGCGUUAUCCGGAUUUAUUGGGUUUAAAGGGCGCGUAGGUGGACAGUUAAGUCAGUUGUGAAAGUUUGCGGCUCAACCGUAAAAUUGCAGUUGAUACUGGUUGUCUUGAGUACAGUAGAGGUGGGCGGAAUUCGUGGUGUAGCGGUGAAAUGCUUAGAUAUCACGAAGAACUCCGAUUGCGAAGGCAGCUCACUGGACUGCAACUGACACUGAUGCUCGAAAGUGUGGGUAUCAAACAGGAUUAGAUACCCUGGUAGUCCACACAGUAAACGAUGAAUACUCGCUGUUUGCGAUAUACAGUAAGCGGCCAAGCGAAAGCGUUAAGUAUUCCACCUGGGGAGUACGCCGGCAACGGUGAAACUCAAAGGAAUUGGCGGGG